rnacentral:rRNA from 1 species
UGUGCCAGUUGUCCCGCCAGGGGCACUGCUGGUUAGCUACGUUCGGAAGGGAUAACCGCUGAAAGCAUCUAAGCGGGAAGCCUGUUCCAAGAUGAGGUUUCUCACCCCCUUGCGGGGUUAAGGCCCCCCACAGACCAUGGGGUUGAUAGGCCAGAACUGUACGCACAGCAAUGUGUUCAGGUGACUGGUACUAAUCGGCCGAGGACUUACCAAC